rnacentral:rRNA from 1 species
AGAGUUUGAUCCUGGCUCAGGAUGAACGCUAGCUACAGGCUUAACACAUGCAAGUCGAGGGGCAGCGGGAUUGAAGCUUGCUUCAAUUGCCGGCGACCGGCGCACGGGUGAGUAACGCGUAUCCAACCUUCCGUACACUCAGGGAUAGCCUUUCGAAAGAAAGAUUAAUACCUGAUGGUAUGAUGAAAUUGCAUGAUAGCAUCAUUAAAGAUUUAUCGGUGUACGAUGGGGAUGCGUUCCAUUAGGUAGUAGGCGGGGUAACGGCCCACCUAGCCUACGUUGGAUAGGGGUUCUGAGAGGAAGGUCCCCCANAUUGGAACUGAGACACGGUCCAAACUCCUACGGGAGCA